AGGCCUCACCUACUUGAAGUUAGGGCUGGUCAUGUGACAGGUGCUAGCCAACAAAAUGAACAGAAGGGGCAUGUGUUACCAGCAAGCAUUUUGCCAUGUUCCCUUUACCCAUCUGCCGUGACAACCAGCAAUUUCCAAGCAGGGGCUGCUCUGUCUGCCCAAAUCCCAGACCGAGGAGAAGCAGAGACCCGUGCCUCUCCGCAGACAUGCAGCACGAGGAGUAAACCUUUGUUGUUGUAAGCCACUGAGAUCUGGGGGCCUGUUUGUCACAAAGCCUAAUGUAAUUCAUGCGGACUGACACGGCCACUUCCUUGUUUUGUGACCUUGGCAAAGUCACUUAACCAAGUUUCCAUUGCUUUCCCUGUAAAAUGUAGAUGUUAAUAUUCCCAUUCCAUAGGUUGGCGGAGAAAACAAAUUAAUGUCUAAGUGCUCGACCUUGCGUCUGGUAGGUACACGUGAAACAAUAGGGACUAUGAUACUCUCACCAUAAGGGCUUAUUUUCCCCAUCUGUUAAAUGGGAGCAGGCAUCAAUACCAAGGGGAUCAGCUGAUGCUUGCACAUUGUCUUUCUAGCAUUGAAGAUGCUUUUCCUGCAGCCAUAUAAAGAUACUUAGUUGCACAUGGAUAAGAGAUGAUGGAGUCAAUGCAGGGUACUUUACAGUUAACCAAGUGUUUCCCAUACAUGUAUUCAUUUCGUCCUUACAAUGAAAGGAUCAGCCAAGCAGUAGAGAGAUGCUGCUCGUAUUGUACCUCCACCUGACUAGCUGAAAAGCUAGAGUCUUUCAAGACUAUUCCACCAAUACAGAAGGCAGUGGCGGAAGUGGAAGAAAGGCAGAAAGUUAGUUCUGGAACUUGGCAGCCCAUCUGAAAUAGAGAUCGUCAAGCAGUCUUAACCAUUCCCGAAAACCGAAGAAAGGGAAGCCACGUCCUCACCACGAGGAGGGCACACAAAGGCAGGGAAGGAGGGCGACAGCCAUGAGCCGGGCACUGUGCGAGGGAAAUUCAUGCUCAUUUUGUAACUUAAUCCACACCGCAGCACUUUGAGUGUUCGUCCCUGUGGGAAGACCAUGCAUCCCUCCCUACUGAACUCAGAGAAGACUUUGUGACCUGCUUUGGCCAAUGAAAUGUGGGUGGCCGUGGUGUGUGUCCCUUCUGGGCAGAAGCUUUAAGAGCCAGCACAUGGAUCACACUUUCUCUUUGGUCAUGUCAUUGCUACCAUGACCAGCAAUGUCCCAUACAGAGGCUCCUCCCUCAGCUCGAAUUCCAAAGUGAAAUUUCCAUGGACCAAAGCCACAGACAUGCUGUGAAUGAGCAAUAAACUGCUGUUGUUGAAAGCUAACGAGAUUUCUGGGGUUGUUUGUUAUGACAGUAUUACCUAACUUAUUCUGACAGAUACCAAGGAUUUUAGAGGGCCUGAGGGAACAUGACCAAAUUUGUGUUUUGAAACGAUGAGUAACUACACUUUAGAAAGUAGACUGAAAAGAAACCAAAGUAGAUUCUGGAAAACCAGUUAAGCCACUAUUACAUUAACCCAAAUAAAGGACAGCAAUAAAUUGGACAAUGGUGAACACAGAGAUACAAAGAUGUAGGUAUAGCCAAAAGCUA